CUGUAAGCUAGCUCGUCUGCUGCAUUUAACUCCUCAUAAGAGAAGGUUCCUAUAUAUAGAUGCAGCAGUCUCAAGUUGCCACAUUCUACAAGGUUUUCUUUGGCAAACUCCACUUCCAGAACCUCCUGUUAUGAGGAUACAAACAUCCAUGCCACCACCACCACCAGUCUUCAGGCAACCGCAAGAACAGUAUGCUCCCAGGCAUGAGCAUGGUUGGAUGGCUUCAGAUGAGG